CGUCCCUUCGAGAUCAUCUGAUAAAAUUGAAACAAUACAGACAACAAUAGCAUGCCCCUGCGCAAGGAUGACACACACAAAUCAAAAAAUGGAAAGGAUGUGG